UAUGGCUUAAAAAAAUAUAUAAAAAUAGAAUAAAAAUGUGAAAUUAUUUUUAGUUAUUCAAAUUUUUAAUAGAGAAAUUAAAUAUUAUGUACAUACCAUUUUUCUUAGAGUGUACAGUCAAGUUAGGGUCAUUUAACAUCGAAGUACUCCCAACUCUUGAUGUAUUAAGCACUUUGCGUUGGUGUUUAUCCAUCAAAUGGUUGUAAAAAGGGAUUUGACGUGUAUACGUUGGCUGGCAAAACUUGCAUUUAUACAUAGGUAUAAUGCUUGAUCGAUAAAUGUACCAUGUUCGUCGGCCGAAGACUGAAAACGUAUUAAAGCAAUUUUGAUUCUUACGGUCGGAAGUAUCUCGUAUUGAAACAUUAUUAGGAGGUGGUAAAUUCUUUUAUACUACAGUGUAUUAUUUAGAACCUUUCAAAAUGUUGUAUUCGUUGUUAUUAUUAACAAUACGAUGGCCGACCAUCGACCGGUGUGGCCCUAGGGAUUAUCUAUAAACAUUUUAAAUUGUUACAAAUGUAAGGAUAUGCUCUCUCGCAGGUAGUAGAUAGUCGACCUACCUAUAUAAUGUUUGACUUUCAAUGGUCAAUGGAAAAACAUUUUUGUGUUAGUGGAUGUAAAAUCUGCCAUAUGAACAUUAUAAAUCAAUAGAUAUAUAUGUGUGGUAUGGUGGCGACGGUGGUGGUGCCGUGCUGUCAAUACAGACACAUACGAUGACUGCGGACGAAUUAUUCAGGGACAAUAUUAUAACAUAAGAAUUAUUGCAGACACAAGUUUCGUUAUCAUAAUACUAAUUGCGAACGUCAAGUUAAUUAAAAUGUUGCGGACACAAUUAUUUACCUUCACCGAUUUUUCAAUCCUUAGAACAAGCUACCAAAAAAAUUGGUAGGUGGGGUUAAAAAUAUUUGUAUCUUGCAAAAGAACAAUCGUUAUUUUUAAAAUUAUUGUGAAUGUUUUUUUUUUUUUUUUUUAAUAAAAUAUUCAUAGAUUUUAUA